rnacentral:rRNA from 1 species
GGAUGCGAUCAUACCAGCACUAAUGCAACGGAUCCCAUCAAAACUCCGCAGUUAAGCGUGCUUGGGCGAGAGUAGUACUAGGCUGGGUGACCUCCCGGACAGUCCUCGUGUUGCAUCCC